GGGCGCGGGCGCGGGCGCGGGCGCGGUGAGAGAGCUGCGGAGAGAAGGCUUCCGGACCCUCAGAGCGGCGCGGCGCGGCGCUUCCCGACCCCGGGUGGAUCCUGAUGACACUAGAGGGUCGAACUUAGGGGGUGGGGGACACAAGGAUGAAGGAGCCCUAAUGGUGUAACCUAGUGGAGGCUGCGGCUCAUUCAGCUCAUUCACGUAAUCCCAGCACUCUAGAGACUGAUGGGGACAGAGAUGUCGCUUGUUGAUGAAGCACCUGGCUGACAGUGCCACCGGAAGGAAAAAAAGAUGCUUUAGUGUUUUCUGAUUUGAUUAUUAGGGAAGGGUUCGAAGCAUUUUCAGAAGCUGAGAAGGAACUGAACGUGGACAUUUUUAUCACAUAUUAAUUCUCUGCAAAUAAACAGCUACAAAUAUCCACACA